AAGUCGUAACAAGGUAACCGUAGGUGAACCAACCUGCAAUUGGAUCAUUAAUAAAUGAAUUGGUUUACAUCAAAACAUUCUGUGCAAUCAUAUCUGUCUCUGGUGGUUGAAUUUUUUUUCUGGCAUGAGGAUCAUGUUUUUUUCGAAAGAAGGCUCUAACUUGGUACAUCUCAUCCUGGCAAAAUACCUUACCACCAAUUGAAUACACAAAGUUUUGAAUGUUUUUUUUAAGUCUGAAACUCUGAAUCAUUCACUUUUGUGCAAUGAAAAAACAACUUUUGACAACAGAUCUCUUGGCUCUC
rnacentral:misc_RNA from 1 species